CAGAACCGGCCGCGGAGCCGGCCACCCUCGCCAGCACCAAAGCGAACACCGAAGCGGUGAACGAGCCGAAGG
rnacentral:tRNA from 1 species